AUUAGUCUUGCUGAUGACCAAGAGCAAUGGUAACAAUUUACCUUAAGGUGCAAAUGGUAUAAAUGAGCUCGAACGGGUAGAUAUUCAAUCAAUCUUAUAAUGAAGCUGGAGAUUUAUCUUCGGUUAGAGCAUCACGUUGAGUUCUUUUGAAAUUCACUCUCCGAUUUCAAGAUGUGGAAUUUUACUUUGUAUUAUAACUUAUUGACAUGGGUAUCUAUCCUCUCCGGCUAACUUCGUUUCUGCCAAAUUCCAAGUUUUUGCUGAAAUGAAUUAUCACAUUUUUAUUUGAAA